rnacentral:rRNA from 1 species
AGCAGCCGCGGUAAUUCCAGCUCCAAUAGCGUAUAUUAAAGUUGUUGCAGUUAAAAAGCUCGUAGUUGAACUUCAGGAUCAAGGAAUCGGUCAUGCCUUGGUAUGUACUGGUUUUAUUGGUUCUCACCUUCUAAAGAACCAUAAUGUCAUUCAUUUGAUGUUAUGGGGAAUUAGGACUGUUACCUUGAAAAAAUUAGAGUGUUUAAAGCAGGCUUACGCUUGAAUACAUUAGCAUGGAAUAAUGAAAUAGGACAUCCGAUUCUAUUUUGUUGGUUUCUAGGAUCGAUGUAAUGAUUAAUAGGGAUAGUUGGGGGCAUUAGUAUUCAAUUGUCAGAGGUGAAAUUCUUGGAUUUAUUGAAGACUAACUACUGCGAAAGCAUUUGCCAAGGAUGUUUUCAUUAAUCAAGAACGAAAGUUAGGGGAUCGAAGACGAUCAGAUACCGUCGUAGU